ACCGAAAUAGCUCAGUUGGGAAAGAGAGACUAUAGAUCGAAAAGUCCCUGGUUCGAUCCCGGGUUCCGGCA
rnacentral:tRNA from 1 species